AUUGAACGCUGGCGGAAUGCUUUACACAUGCAAGUCGAACGGCAGCACGGGGGCAACCCUGGUAGUGAGUGGCGAACGGGUGAGUAAUAUAUCGGAACGUGCCCAGUCGUGGGGGAUAACGUAGCGAAAGUUACGCUAAUACCGCAUACGAUCUAAGGAUGAAAGCGGGGGAUCGCAAGACCUCGCGCGAUUGGAGCGGCCGAUAUCAGAUUAGGUAGUUGGUGGGGUAAAGGCUCACCAAGCCAACGAUCUGUAGCUGGUCUGAGAGGACGACCAGCCACACUGGAACUGAGACACGGUCCAGACUCCUACGGGAGGCAGCAGUGGGGAAUUUUGGACAAUGGACGCAAGUCUGAUCCAGCCAUUCCGCGUGCAGGAUGAAGGCCCUCGGGUUGUAAACUGCUUUUGUACGGAACGAAAAGGUCUCUCUUAAUACGGGGGGCUCAUGACGGUACCGUAAGAAUAAGCACCGGCUAACUACGUGCCAGCAGCCGCGGUAA
rnacentral:rRNA from 1 species